GACGUAGGGCGCGAGCGUUGUCCGGAUUUAUUGGGCGUAAAGAGCUCGUAGGCGGCUUGUCGCGUCGUCCGUGAAAACCCACAGCUCAACUGUGGGCUUGCGGUCGAUACGGGCAGGCUAGAGUUCGGUAGGGGAGACUGGAAUUCCUGGUGUAGCGGUGAAAUGCGCAGAUAUCAGGAGGAACACCGGUGGCGAAGGCGGGUCUCUGGGCCGAAACUGACGCUGAGGAGCGAAAGCGUGGGGAGCAAACAGG
rnacentral:rRNA from 1 species